GAAGACCCCUCCUCCAAGGAGAGCGUGUCAGGAACAAGCUCUUAAAAGAGCGAAGUGACUCAAGCUCAGGGGAGCAUGCAGAGCAUAGCAAUCCCCAGUGUGAUUAUAACAGCUCCCUCCAAUAACGAGACAAGGCUACGUUUAGAGGGAUCAAGAAGAACUGUCAAAACCUUUAUUCCCUUGGGACCAGCCAAUACAGUCACCACAAUAACAUUGUUGUGAAACCUCAAUAAAAUCACAAACAGUCAAACCAUAUCAAGAAACACACAGUGACUUAUCACAACACAAUGGCAGAUUUUUAAAG